AGUGAACGCUGGCGGUAGGCCUAACACAUGCAAGUCGAACGGCAGCACAGUAAGAGCUUGCUCUUACGGGUGGCGAGUGGCGGACGGGUGAGGAAUACACCGGAAUCUACUUUUUAGUGGGGGAUAACGAAGGGAAACUUACGCUAAUACCGCAUACGACCUACGGGUGAAAGCAGGGGAUCUUCGGACCUUGCGCGAGUGAAUGAGCCGAUGUCGGAUUAGCUAGUUGGCGGGGUAAAGGCCCACCAAGGCGACGAUCCGUAGCUGGUCUGAGAGGAUGAUCCACCACUCUGGAACUGACACGCGAUCCAGACUCCUACAGGAGGCAGCGGUGUGGAAUAUUGGACAAUGUGCGCAAGCCUGAUCCAGCCAUGCCGCGUGGGUGAAGAAGGCCUUCGGGUUGUAGAGCCCUUUUGUUGGGGAAGAAAAGCAGCAGUUUAAUACCCCGCUGUUCUGACGGUACCCACAGAAUAAGCACCGGCUAACUUCGUG
rnacentral:rRNA from 1 species